rnacentral:rRNA from 1 species
UACGAAGGGGGCUAGCGUUGUUCGGAUUUACUGGGCGUAAAGCGCACGUAGGCGGGUCGUUAAGUCGGGGGUGAAAUCCUGGAGCUCAACUCCAGAACUGCCUUCGAUACUGAAGAGCUUGAGUCCGGGAGAGGUGAGUGGAACUGCGAGUGUAGAGGUGAAAUUCGUAGAUAUUCGCAAGAACACCAGUGGCGAAGGCGGCUCACUGGCCCGGUACUGACGCUGAGGUGCGAAAGCGUGGGGAGCAAACAGG